rnacentral:rRNA from 1 species
CGGGGAAUUUUGGACAAUGGGCGAAAGCCUGAUCCAGCAAUGCCGCGUGUGUGAAGAAGGCCUUCGGGUUGUAAAGCACUUUUGUCCGGAAAGAAAUCCUUGGCUCUAAUACAGCCGGGGGAUGACGGUACCGGAAGAAUAAGCACCGGCUAACUACGUGCCAGCAGCCGCGGUAAUACGUAGGGUGCAAGCGUUAAUCGGAAUUACUGGGCGUAAAGCGUGCGCAGGCGGUUUGCUAAGACCGAUGUGAAAUCCCCGGGCUCAACCUGGGAACUGCAUUGGUGACUGGCAGGCUAGAGUAUGGCAGAGGGGGGUAGAAUUCCACGUGUAGCAGUGAAAUGCGUAGAGAUGUGGAGGAAUACCGAUGGCGAAGGCAGCCCCCUGGGCCAAUACUGACGCUCAUGCACGAAAGCGUGGGGAGCAAACAGGAUUAGAUACCCUGGUAGUCCACGCCCUAAACGAUGUCAACUAGUUGUUGGGGAUUCAUUUCCUUAGUAACGUAGCUAACGCGUGAAGUUGACCGCCUGGGGAGUACGGUCGCAAGAUUAAAACUCAAAUGAAUUGACGGGGUCAUAGCUGUUUCCU